rnacentral:rRNA from 1 species
UACGGAGGGUGCAAGCGUUAUCCGGAUUCACUGGGUUUAAAGGGUGCGUAGGCGGAUUUGUAAGUCCGUGGUGAAAUCUCUAAGCUUAACUUGGAAAUUGCCGUGGAUACUAUAAGUCUUGAAUAUUGUGGAGGUUAGCGGAAUAUGUCAUGUAGCGGUGAAAUGCAUAGAUAUGACAUAGAACACCAAUUGCGAAGGCAGCUGGCUACACAACUAUUGACGCUGAGGCACGAAAGCAUGGGGAUCAAACAGG